UACGGAGGGUGCAAGCGUUACUCGGAAUUACUGGGCGUAAAGCGUGCGCAGGCGGUUUGUUAAGUCCGUUGUGAAAGCCCCGAGCUCAACUUGGGAAUUGCAGUGGAUACUGGCAGGCUGGAGUACGGUAGAGGAAGGUGGAAUUUCCGGUGUAGCAGUGAAAUGCGUAGAGAUCGGGAGGAACACCAGUGGCGAAGGCGGCCUUCUGGACCAGUACUGACGCUCAUGCACGAAAGCGUGGGGAGCAAACAGG
rnacentral:rRNA from 1 species